rnacentral:rRNA from 1 species
ACGCCCGCUACAGAAACUACAAAGGAAUUGACGGGACCCCGCACAAGCGGUGGAUCAUGUUGUUUAAUUCGAUGAUACGCGAAGAACCUUACCAGGUCUUGACAUCCCCCGCGAUGCUUUAGAGAUAAAGCGGAGGUAUUCGGGGAGGACAGGUGGUGCAUGGUUGUCGUCAGCUCGUGUCGUGAGAUGUUGGGUUAAGUCCCGCAACGAGCGCAACCCCUAUUGCUAGUUACCAUCAUUAAGUUGGGGACUCUAGCGAGACUGCCAGUGAUAAACUGGAGGAAGGUGGGGAUGACGUCAAAUCAUCAUGCCCCUUAUGACCUGGGCUACAAACGUGAUACAAUGGCUGGAACAAAGGGAUGCGAAGCAGUGAUGUGGAGCGAAACCCAUAAAAACAGUCUCAGUUCGGAUUGAAGUCUGCAACUCGACUUCAUGAAGUCGGAAUCGCUAGUAAUCGCGGAUCAGAACGCCGCGGUGAAUACGUUCUCGGGGUUU